rnacentral:rRNA from 1 species
GACGAACGCUGGCGGCGUGCUUAACACAUGCAAGUCGAACGGAAAGGCCCUGCUUUUGUGGGGUGCUCGAGUGGCGAACGGGUGAGUAACACGUGAGUAACCUGCCCUUGACUUUGGGAUAACUUCAGGAAACUGGGGCUAAUACCGGAUAGGAGCUCCUGCUGCAUGGUGGGGGUUGGAAAGUUUCGGCGGUUGGGGAUGGACUCGCGGCUUAUCAGCUUGUUGGUGGGGUAGUGGCUUACCAAGGCUUUGACGGGUAGCCUGCCUGAGAGGGUGACCGGCCACAUUGGGACUGAGAUACGGCCCAGACUCCUACGGGAGGCAGCAGGGGGGAAUAUUGCACAAUGGGCGGAAGCCUGAUGCAGCAACGCCGCGUGCGUGAUGACGGCCUUCGGGUUGUAAACCGCUUUCGCCUGUGACGAAGCGUGAGUGACGGUAAUGGGUAAAGAAGCACCGGCUAACUACGUG